rnacentral:rRNA from 1 species
GAUGAACGCUAGCUACAGGCUUAACACAUGCCAGUCGAGGGGAAACGACAUCGAAAGCUUGCUUUUGAUGGGCGUCGACCGGCGCACGGGUGAGUAACGCGUAUCCAACCUGCCCACCACUUGGGGAUAACCUUGCGAAAGUAAGACUAAUACCCAAUGAUAUCCCACGAAGACAUCUGAAUGGGAUUAAAGAUUUAUCGGUGAUGGAUGGGGAUGCGUCUGAUUAGCUUGUUGGCGGGGUAACGGCCCACCAAGGCAACGAUCAGUAGGGGUUCUGAGAGGAGGUCCCCCACAUUGGAACUGAGACACGGUCCAAACUCCUACGGGAGGCAGCAGUGAGGAAUAUUGGUCAAUGGGCGAGAGCCUGAACCAGCCAAGUAGCGUGCAGGAAGACGGCCCUAUGGGUUGUAAACUGCUUUUAUAAGGGAAUAAAGUGGGUCACGUGUGACUUUUUGCAUGUACCUUAUGAAUAAGGACCGGCUAAUUCCGUG